rnacentral:rRNA from 1 species
UAAUUUAAUUUUUAUUAUUUGGAUUAUUGAUUAGAUUUUAUAGAAACAACUUCAUUUUUAGUAUGUUUAACUGAAAUAAGGGUUUUAUUUAUAGUUUAUUGUACUGUAAGGGAAUAAAUUAUUUUUGUUAAAAGUAGUUUUAUUUUGACGUACCUUUUGUAUCAGGGUUAAUAAAUUUAUUAUAUUUAUAUAUGUUUCCCGAAAUAGGGAGGGCUAAAGUUAUUUGUUAGUUAAUGUUUCAUAAUUAUUGAUUAAAUGAUUUUAGUAAUGAUAUGUUAUUCGUUCCCUUAUAUCUGGUUUUUUAGGAAUUGAAUUCAAUUCAGACUUAAUUAAUUUUAUUUGAUUAUUUUUAUUUAUUUAGUUGAUUAAGUUAUAAUCUUUAGGGAUAAGCUUAAGGAAGGAUUUUAUAAACUUUUAGUUGUUUUGGAGUUUUGUAGGCUUAGAAUCGGCCAUCUUUGAUUUCGUUAUAGAUUAACUUUUAGGAUUUUUUAUUUAUUUUGUUUUAGAUUUUUAUUAAAAUGAAUCAGUUAAUAUUUAAUUGAUUGUAAUAAUGAUUGAAUUAGUAUGUUUGAUAAUUGGAUUAUAGGAAUUCGGCAAUUUUGGUGCCCGCCUGUUUAACAAAAACAUGUUCUCUUGUUAUUUAUAUUAGGUUUGGCCUGCCCAAUGAGGUUUUAAUGGCCGCGGUAUUUUAACCGUGCUAAGGUAGCAUAAUCAUUUGUCUUUUAAUUAAGGGCUGGAAUGAAGGGUUGGACGAGGUACUUACUUUCUUUAAUUCAAUUAUUGAAUUUAAUUUUUGAGUGAAAAAGCUUAAAUUUUUUUGUGGGACGAGAAGACCCUAUAGAUCUUUACAUUUAUUUUAUUUGUAAGGUUUGGUGAUUAAUUUAUGUCUUAUGAUUAGGGUAUAAUGUUUGAUUGGGGUGAUUGUGGAAUUUUAAUAACUUCUAUUUUAUUUAUUCAUUGGUUAGUGUUUUUUUGAUCCAUUUAUAGUGAUUAUAAGAUUAAGUUACCUUAGGGAUAACAGCGUAAUUUCUUCGGAGAGUUCUUAUCGAUGAGGGAGUUUGCGACCUCGAUGUUGGAUUAAAAUAAGUUUUAGGUGAAGCCGCUAAUUGUACUAGGUCUGUUCGACCUUUAAAUUUUUACAUGAUCUGAGUUCAGACCGGCGUGAGCCAGGUCAGUUUCUAUCUAUAAUUUGUAUAUUAUGCAUUAGUACGAAAGGACCAUGUGUAUGGAAUAAUUUUUUCUUGUUGUUUAAUAUUACUA